rnacentral:misc_RNA from 1 species
AACGAGGCCGACCUGCGGCUGAGUUACCUGCGGAAGGAUCAUUACCAGAGAGCCUUUUGGCACUCCAACCCAUUGUGAACAUACCUAUCGUUCCCUCGGCGGGCUCAGCGCGCGGGGCCUCCGGGCUUCCGGGCGUCCGCCGGGGACAACCAAACCCUGAUUUACUACGUGUAUCUCUGAGGGGCGAAAGCCCGAAAACAAAAUAAAUCAAAACUUUUAACAAUGGAUCUCAGAUCGGAA